UCUUUGAGUCAAUCAGGGAAUGAUGCAU
rnacentral:piRNA from 1 species